rnacentral:ncRNA from 2 species
UAUCUUGCCCUUACUUCGGGUGCCCGCUCCGAUGUCUUGGGAGCGGGUGAAACGGGAAGCCGGUGAAGCGGGCAUCGCCCCGCCAUUCCGGCGCAGCCCCCGCUGCUGUGAGCCUGACGGGAAGCGCAUCGGCCACUGUGCCUUCGAGGGCAUGGGAAGGCGCGCGGACCGGAUGACGGCGAGCCAGAAGACCGGCCCGGAGUGCGUAGUUGGU